rnacentral:lncRNA from 1 species
CUCUUUGUUUUUGGCUUUCUAAUUCUCGAAUCUGUGUUUCUCAUCAUUUCCUUUUUUGCUUCCAUAUUCUCAAAUCUGUGUUUCUGGUCAUUCCCUUUUUUGCUUCCAUAUUCUGAAAUCUGUGUCUGUGAUCAUCACCUAAAAAAAGAAAAAAAAAAACUGUGUCUGUGAUAAUUUCCACUAUUUGUUUUUCAGUUUUCACAUUUUCUUGUAUUGUCUCAAUUAAGGGGAAAAAAAAAACCAAAAAAAAAAGCCAGCAAACUUUCUUCAUACCUUGAUUUCCACUUGGCAAAAGAAACAGCGCAUAGGAGAGUUCAGUGAAGGUAAGUUUUGAGGAACUGCUCCUCAUUGCUAUAUAUUUUCAUGUUUUUGUUGAGUGGAUCUCCG